rnacentral:lncRNA from 1 species
GGGAUUUUGAAAAUUGGAAAAGUAGGAAACAAUGAUAAUUUGACUUACAUUUUUUAAACAAUCGAAUCUUUGCUUUGUGAGAUGAAAAACAUCACGGAAUUGGGUAAGGAUCAUAUGAACUAGAACAUUCCGAUUAAGUUGGCCAUUUUCUAUGUUUUUAAGUUGAACUUCCAUUUCUUUUCGCAAGAAAGGCUUGGUCAAACUCCACUCUAAACCAAUUUCAUCAUAGCCUUUUGCCAAAGCAACUCCUAAAGAGCUUGGUACAAAUUCAGUUACACCUUGGCCCCUUUUUUUUCGUUUUAUGACAUAUUCUCUCUCCUGAACUUUUUCGAUGUGCUCUGCCAUAGUAGCAUCUGUCCCGAUUCCAUUGGCAUCCAUCAAGGCAAUUAACUCCGGUUCAGUGAUAUAGGAAGGGGAGGACGUUGAACUGUCCAUCAUGUCGAGAAUGUGGGGUUGGAAUUCCUCGUGAAGUCUAUACUCUGGUAAUUGAUCCGAACUUUCCCAUUUCUCAUAUGGAUAAACCUCUAAAUAAUUUUUCUCUGUCACUAGCAAUCCCUUUUUAGAAAAAAGCUCUUCUUCCAUUUUAACCUGCACCAACGUUUCGGCUCCUUUGGCAUUGUCAGAACAACAAGCUAAAAAUCUUCUUGUAAUUAGCUCAUAUACUUUCCAAUGAUCUUGGGAAGGAAGCGCUGACCGGUGAACCAUUUGAACGGGAUGAAUAGGUGGAUGAGCGCGAUCAUUGUGUUUACCUUUUCGGGGCGGUCGAUAAUCUCCAGCCAAAAGCCUAACAUUAGUUAUUACGGAAGCCACUAUAAGAAAAAUUAUAUUUACCCUUCUGCAUAAGAGUCCCAUUCUUGUGCACCUGUUAGUUUUUGGAUAAUCGCAUGCAAAUUCAUUGAAGAGUCAAAUUGGUCGGUUUCAGUACGUGGGUAAGAAACAAACCCAUUAGUAUAUAAGUUUUCGGCGAGCUGAUGAAAAUGAUGUUAAAGUUGCAAAUUCACUUAUAAUCAAAUCGUACCUCUAAAGUUUUCUUAGCAGAAAUUCUUAGAUGUUUUGGCCCCAGUUUUGUAAGUUCUACAGUUGAUAAUGGCAGAGGUUUAUACUUGGUUUUUGGUUUUUGAGUUAUGUUAACGACCUUAGCAGUUUUGCAUUCUAAACAGUUUUCCAAGAUGAUCAUUGUAGUUAAUCUGUCAAAAACUUUGGCCCUUUCCCAAUUGAACUGAAUAGUCUUACCCUGUCUUUUAUCAACAAAUCGAAGGUGCCAGUAGGUUUCAGGCACAAAGUCUUCUACUCGCUGCCACCGAUCAACUACAAAGCCUAAUGUAGGGAAUUGGCAGGGACCAUAACUUAUUAUUUUAUUCUGAAGAAUAUCGAAUGAUUUUUGUAAUUGAAUAGUUUGUAGCCGAGUGAAUAUUGCACCUAAACGAAAAUCAAGUUCAAUUCUAGCAUCCACAGCAUCUGCAGCAUUUUUUGAAACAUCUCUUGGACGUUUCGCGGCACUGAUAAUAUGUCUGAAAAUUAGUUAGCAUUUAUCUUGAAGGGUUUUUUCUGUAAUAAAUAAAUAUCUGCUUUUUAAAACGCUAAGAUGUUUAUAACUUACGACCGUUCCAAAUUAUUGAAGUCUGCUCGGAUAACCUGAAUAGAUGGAUUGCUGGCUCUAGCUACAUUGGAGAUUUCCACCCCAAUGUGUUCACCCUCACGAUCACAAUCGGUCCAAAUAUAAAGGUACUGGGCAUUUCUAGCUUCUUUUUUAAUAUUGUCUGCUAGUACUUCUGCAUUCUUUGAUACUGAGGUGAUGAUUUGAGCAUCGAAUAAAACGUCUUGAGGGACAGAGCUCCAACUAGAAUAUUCAGAAGGAAAAGAAGCUUCUGUUAAGUGACCGGAUACAGAAGUCAUUGUAACAUCAGAAGAUCCAACAUUGCCUCCAAAAUUAAAUGAGAAGUCGUAAUUUUUUACAUACUUACUUCGUGUAUCUCUCUUAAGAGAUUAGUAAAUUUCAGAAAAGAUUAAAUUUUUUAACAAACCCUUCUCACGUGUCCACCCCCUAGAAUGCUUGCUACCGAUUUGGCAAUCGAGUUUUUUUCAGCAACACAUAGGACGCGCAUUUCUUUUAAGAGAUGACAUUUAUUACUUGGAUAUUGCACACCUUCUAAUUAUAUCUCCCUUUUUUAAAAAUGACUGCAGUGUAAAAUUCGCGUGUAAGGUGUUAAGGUCGAGAUGGCUUUAUUGUUUAUGCUAACAAAUGUUGGUAUAAUGAAAGGUAGUAAAUCGAGGACCAGAAAGUUCAUUAAAAAAAAUCAAAC